GAUGAAGAACGUAGCGAAAUGCGAUAAGUAGUGUGAAUUGCAGAAUUCAGUGAAUCAUCGAAUCUUUGAACGCACAUUGCGCCCCCUGGUAUUCCGGGGGGCACGCCUGUUCGAGCGUCAUUUCAACCCUCAAGCCCCCGGCUUGACGUUGGGCGCGGCCCCUCCCUCGGGGGGGGCCCGCCUGAAACCCCUCGGCGUCGCCGUCCGUCCCAGAGCGCAGCGAGUUUUCUGCCCGCGCUACUGGACCGGGCCGCUGGCCGCCGGUGAAUCCAUUUUCUCAAGGUUGACCUCGGAUCAGGUGGGGAUACCCGCUGAACUUAAGCAUAUCAAUAAGCGGAGGA
rnacentral:misc_RNA from 1 species